rnacentral:rRNA from 1 species
AGAAAGCGGGGGGAUCAAACAGGAUUAGAUACCUUGGUAGUCACGCCGUAAACGAUGAGUGCUAAGAGGAAGGGGGGUUUCCGCCCCUUAGUGCUGCAGCUAACGCAUUAAGCAAGCCGACCGAACAGUACGACCGCAAGCUUGAAACUCAAAGGAAUUGACGGGAACCCGCACAAGCGGUGAGUAACACGUGGGUAAUUCCAACCAACGCGAAGAACCUUACCAAAACUUCGACAAACCUGGACCCUAAUACAGAUAGAAAUUUCGAACCGCAGGGGACAAUAGUGAAAGAUGGUGCAUGGUUGCCGUCAGCUCGUGUCAUGAGAUGUUGGGUUAAGACCCGCGCAACCCAUAAGCUUAGUUGCCAUCAUAAAGUAACGGCACACCAAGGCAACGAUGCCGGUAACAAACCGGAGGAAGGGGGAUGACGGCAAAUCAUCAUGCAACUGAUGAUCACGGCUACACACGUCCUACAAGAGACAACACAAAGGGCAAGAAACCGCAAUGGGCGAAAGCCUAAAUCCCAUAAAGCCGUCCUCAGUUCAGAAAGUAGUCUGCAACGCCACUACAAGAAGAGGAACCGCUAGUAAUCGUAGAUCAGCAUGCUACGGUGAAUACGUUCCCGGGUCUUGUACACACCGCCCGUCACACCACGAGAGUUUGUAACACCCGAAGCCGGUGGAGUAACCAUUUGGAGCUAGCCGUCGAAGGUGACAAAAUUGA